AUACGUAGGUGACAAGCGUUAUCCGGAUUUACUGGGCGUAAAGGGCGUGUAGGCGGUCUUGCAAGUCAGAAGUGAAAUUCCUGAGCUCAACUCGGGCGCUGCUUCUGAAACUGCAGGACUUGAGUGCUGGAGGGGAUAGCGGAAUUCCUAGUGGAGCGGUAAAAUGCGCAGAUAUUAGGAAGAACACCGGUGGCGAAGGCGGCUAUCUGGACAGUAACUGACGCUGAGGCGCGAAAGCGUGGGGAGCAAACAGGAUUAGAUACCCUGGAAGUCCACGCCGUAAACGAUGAAUACUAGGUGUAGGGGGUAUCGACUCCCUCUGUGCCGCAGUUAACACAAUAAGUAUUCCGCCUGGGGAGUACGGCCGCAAGGUUGAAACUCAAAUGAAUUGACGGGG
rnacentral:rRNA from 1 species